CCUAGCUACUUAAUCAUCAAUAGCUAACUGUUUGCCACCGGACGUCAGCACUGGCAGAGCAGGAAGCGCUCAUUCCAUCCUGCUCCCCUUUCUAGAGACGUAAGACUCAGAAAGUGAAGUGGUUGAGCUGGGCUCCAUCUCCUACCCUCCUCGCUGCCGCUCCUUGCGCUACACCACACUUCUCUCUGCUUCUUGCAAACUCGCUGAGUCUACUGGCAGCCACUCUAACAGGUUUACAAUUGGCAAAGCUAUUGGGAGGGGAGCUUCACUGUUUAGUUGCAAACUAAGGGCUUCCUCAGUUCCAGUCUCCCUAGUCAAGCAGUCACUGUCACAGGCAGGUCAUCAUACCACCACGGAGUAGCUGACAGACCUUCUGUUUUGGAGAAGGAGAUUGCAUCACCAACCAGCUUCUGUGUCUUCGGUAUUCUUGACUACAGGAUGAGCCAAACAGUUAAGUUCAGAUUGGCUGUACCACAAUGUGGUCAUUUUGCUCAUCUGAACAUGGCUUACACCAAAAGAAACUAUCCUGCGCACAUAGCUGUUUCUCUCCUCCUUCUUUAUGACACAGAAGGUUUCUGGAGAGUGGAGCUAAGCCACACCCACCCUCCAGUCCUGCAUCCAGUCAACAAAUGCCAAGGACGUCUCUGUGGAACAUCAGGGGAAAGCCCGAGACCUGAAGGAGGAAGAGGAACCACUCAGAGUGAACGGCCCCAAAGGAGGAGAGAGGAAGAGGUGAGGUGGGGGAGGGAUGAGCAGGCAGAGCUCCUGGUGAGAGGGAGCGUGGCGCAUCCACGGAAGCAACAGGGCUCCUGGAGCUGUUUGUAGUCACUUACACAGGGGCUGAGGAGGCUCCUGUAGAAAAGAUUUUAUCCCUGGCCAGCUGGGCUUUGGAAACGUCAGUCACGAUCAAAACCCAACUACAGGAAAUGCUUGCAGGAAAUGUGGCUGGCGUCAGCUUUGUUCACCUCACAUGUCACGAUGUGGGUUCUCUGUGAGCACAGGAAAGGCUGUGACACGUCAGGGCUCAAGCAGCCCUGCGGUGGGACACUUUCCCUUCCACCCUCAGGCCGAGCACACUCAGGAGGCAUGCUCUCCUCUCUUUUCCUGAGUGGUAACCUGGAUCUCUGGUCUUUUGGUGCAGCCCCCACAUUCAAUGUCUCAGUUUCGGGGGGCCCACAGUCCUGUUCCACUUGCUUUGAGCCAAGGAGGGUCUCCUGCUCUGUUCACAUCCAGGCAGUGGUGACAGUAGUGACAGGAAUGAGAACAAGGUCACACUCAGGCUGCACCUCUGUGGAUGGAACUCUAGAGGCUGGAGCUGGCUCAGGUGGCAAAAGAAAGAAGGUGUCACUCUGUCUGGAAUAUUUGGGAACUCAAGCAGUCUUGCUCUGGGACCCCAAAUGGGCAAAAGUGAAAAUGGACUCUCCCCUCUUCAUGAGAACAAUGGUGCCCACUGGUAUCAGGGCAUGGCACAUUUUCAGCCCUAUGCCACCUAGUGGAGGCUGUGUCGUCUAGGGCAGGUGCCAGCCUAAAGGGAAACUUCCAUGGAUUUGUUGCAUCCUGAGGCUGAGUUCUGAUUUUGUUACCAGCAGUGGCAAGGGACUACCCGGACUAAUUUGUGGAUACCUAAGGACCUCAGGGGGUUCCUUGAAAUACUUUAGCAAGAGGGGAGCAUGUAAAACAAGAUGUUUUCUACGGCCGAGUAGGGAGAAAGGGACUCGGGGCUACUGAAGUUCGGGCAUGAGUGGGUUUACAUCCCCCCUCACCUGCUGCGGGAGGCUGAGAGAUGCUCACGCAUCCAGAAGGCAUCACCAGCUUGGCUGAACACGACAAACUCCUGGAGCAAAGAGGUGGU
ensembl:lncRNA